rnacentral:rRNA from 1 species
GGGUUAGUAGGUUGGUCAUGCCUCUGGUAAGUACUGGUCUCACUGAUUCCUCCUUCCUGAUGAACCUUAAUGCCAUUAAUUUGGUGCUUUGGGGAAUUUGGACUGUUACUUUGAAAAAAUUAGAGUGUUUAAAGCAAGCUAACGCUUGAAUCAAUUAGCAUGGAAUAAUGAAAUAGGACGUUCGAUCCUAUUUUGUUGGUUUCUAGGAUUGACGUA